GGGUGGGUAAAAUGGCCGAGUAAGCAUUAGACUGUAAAUCUAAAGACAGAGGAGUGAUCCCUCUUUUUACC
rnacentral:tRNA from 1 species